rnacentral:rRNA from 1 species
AUGGAGAAGUUCCCCUUCGAUGAUGUUAGCCGCAUUGAUUCCUCAACACUUGAGCCUGAGAUGGAGAGCUUCAUGGUUGAGUAUGGUGAGGUGGAUUCAGAUGUCAAGCAGCCAAGCUCGACUAUUUCACUUGUUGACACGAGUCCGGUGGAAAUUUCUACUACCACACCUCACUUGGUAUCUUCAAUUGAGGUAGUCCCAAAGCUUCUUCCUAACUAUCUCAGGUUUACACUUGUGCACCAUUUACGACGAGUUGACCGAGUUCAAGAUGACAUUCCCUGGGAUCCUGGUGGAUUCACGGCAUGGUGA